rnacentral:snoRNA from 2 species
AAACCAUGAUGGGGGCAAAGCCUAAGCAUUUCUUUGAAACGCUCCCACGCAUCGUAAAGAGAUUGACCAUCUUUUUGAGUGU